GUUUGUUUUCUCUUAUUUUUGAGUGUAAAUUGACAUUGCGAUAAGACGUGUCACGGUACUUGUCUAUCCCAAAUUCAUGUAUUUGUUUUUGAUGUUAUAUUUGUUAUUCUCGUGGGAUUUUGUCUGAUGCUUGGUCCGUUUCUGAGUGUGUUAGUUACAUUGUAGUGUUGUGUCGUUGUUCUCCUCUUAUAUUUAUGCGUUUCCGUCAGUUUUAGUUUGUUACCCCGAUUUUGUUUUUUUGUCCAUGGAUUUAUGAGUUUGAACAGCGGUAUACUACUGUUGCCUUUUUUU
rnacentral:lncRNA from 1 species